UACGUAGGGUGCAAGCGUUGUCCGGAAUUAUUGGGCGUAAAGAGCUCGUAGGCGGUUUGUCGCGUCUGCCGUGAAAGUCCGGGGCUCAACUCCGGAUCUGCGGUGGGUACGGGCAGACUAGAGUGAUGUAGGGGAGACUGGAAUUCCUGGUGUAGCGGUGAAAUGCGUAGAUAUCGAGAGGAACACCUGCGGCGAAGGCGGGUUGCUGGGCUGACACUGACGCUGAGGCGCGAAAGCUAGGGGAGCGAACGGG
rnacentral:rRNA from 1 species